ACAAGGAUCUGGUUUGAAUACAAAUGAUAGACUGUCAUGUAUAGUCAGAGAAAACAUGAAAGAAAACAAAAAAAUUACUGAAUAUAUUCACUUUUUUGUCUCUGCAUUUUACAUCAUAUUUGGUUGUAACAGGAUCCUGUACAUGCACUUUUCUUGGCGUCUAGUUGUGGCCAAAUGGGAUGUUCAGAGAAAUAUGCCGUUCUCGUUCUUCUUCCCACAGAAAACCAACUUGUCAAACUGAAACAAAUGGACCAAAACACCUAUUUUUUGCACCUGCAGGUAUAGCUGAACUUCAGACAUCAAAAAUCACUUGGAGACGGCAGAGGCAAGCGCUCGAUGGCUGGAGCACGGUCGUGGCCGAGGUCGUUGGAGAGGGUAUAGCUGAAUUUCCUCGAUGACAGUAAGUGAACUUCGUGCCUUCUUCUGCAAAACCAAAAUCUGAAUACAUAUAUAAGAGAAAUACAUAUAUGAACUAGCAUGAACACAAAAUUGUGACAGGGCAUAUUUUUCUGAACUUUUUAUGCAAAAACUCUCUGUAUUUUCACCCCUUGUUUUCAGAACAAAAACUUGGUUGAUCGAACCAAUGGAUCCACAUGUCAGGGAGAUCUUUGCGGAUGGCGACUGCAUCGUCGGGCAUCGGAAUCAUCCUCGAGAAUAGCGUUCGCACUGUGCAGGGGGUUGGGGACGACGACAUCGGCAGGACACGAGAGCUUGAAGAACAAGAACAGCGCCGCGAUGGUGGUCCGAGGGUCACGCACGAAUGAACAAGAGGAACUGGGCGACGAUGAGCAGGAGGAUCCAGGGGAGUUCCCCGAAGGUAGAGAAGUAGAAGAGGCGGGCCGAGGGCGGGAGGAGACUCACCGGAGGGAGAAGUGGGGGACGGGAAGAGCAGCGGCGGCCGGUGGUGGAGGCGUGAGGCGGCCGCAAGAUCCGGUGGCGCACGUGGGGGUUCCGGGGAGGGCGCAUGGCUGCAGGUGGAUCCGGUUAGGGGGCGCGCCGACGGGGGUNNN
rnacentral:lncRNA from 1 species